AUUGAACGCUGGCGGCAUGCCUUACACAUGCAAGUCGAACGGCAGCACGGGAGCAAUCCUGGUGGCGAGUGGCGAACGGGUGAGUAAUAUAUCGGAACGUGCCCAGUCGUGGGGGAUAACGCAGCGAAAGCCGUGCUAAUACCGCAUACGAUCUCUGGAUGAAAGCGGGGGACUCGCAAGGGCCUCGCGCGAUUGGAGCGGCCGAUAUCAGAUUAGCUAGUUGGUGGGGUAAAGGCUCACCAAGGCGACGAUCUGUAGCUGGUCUGAGAGGACGACCAGCCACACUGGAACUGAGGAACGGUCCAGACUCCUACGGGAGGCAGCAGUGGGGAAUUUUGGACAAUGGGCGCAAGCCUGAUCCAGCAAUGCCGCGUGCAGGAUGAAGGCCUUCGGGUUGUAAACUGCUUUUGUACGGAACGAAACGGUUUGCCCUAAUACGGUGGACUAAUGACGGUACCGUAAGAAUAAGCACCGGCUAACUACGAGCCAGCCGCCGCCGUAACAC
rnacentral:rRNA from 1 species